rnacentral:rRNA from 1 species
CCCUUAGAUGUCCGGGGCUGCACGCGCGCUACACUGAAUGAAUCAGCGUGCUAGAAAACCUUGUUUGACAUGGCUAGGUAACCCAUUGAAAAUCAUUCGUGAUUGGGAUCGGGACUUGCAAAUGUGUCCCUUGAACGAGGAAUUCCCAGUAAGUGCGGGUCAUCAGCUCGCGUUGAUUACGUCCCUGCCCUUUGUACACACCGCCCGUCGCUGCCCGGAACUGAGCCGUUUCGAGAAAACUGAGGAUUGCUGACUUGAGGCCUUCACGGGCUUCUAGUCGGUGAAAAUCAAUUUAAUCGCAGCGGCUUGAACCGGGCAAAAGUCGUAACA